GUCAGAGUGCAUUGACCAAGGGGAAAUGGAAGGGUGUCAAGAGGAAGUUACCGCAUCCAAAGACGGGUAUAUGUACAAGGUUCGGGAUGGUACGUCACCCUCAACCCGCAAGUUUCUGCAAAAACUCUAUGUAUAAGAAAUAGGAUAUAUAUAUAAAGUGCCACACACAGAACGAAAGUGGCAAAGGUGCCAGUGGCAAAGGUGCCAGUGGCAAAGGUCUGCCUUUUCGUUAAGUAGGCAAGAGUACAAAUCCAGGUUGGUGGAGAAUAAAUUUUUUUGGCUUGCAUUCAAUUGCAAUUUAAGGAGAUUAAGUACUGUACAC
rnacentral:lncRNA from 1 species